GACAGAGGUGCCGAGCGUUAGGCGGAAUCACUGGGCUUAAAGCGUGUGUAGGCGGAUUGGUAAGUACCUUGUGAAAUCCCACGGCUUAACCGUGGAACUGCUUGGUAUACUGCUUAUCUUGGGCCACUUAGGGGCUACCGGAACAAACGGUGGAGCGGUGAAAUGCGUAGAUAUCGUUUGGAACGCCAAUGGUGAAAACAGGUAGCUGGGAGUGUGCCGACGCUGAGACACGAAAGCCAGGGGAGCGGACGGG
rnacentral:rRNA from 1 species